rnacentral:rRNA from 1 species
AUGCUCAUGCACUCUCCCGUCGCUCUACGCUGGCUUGACGUGUGCACUUUUCGCGGGCAGAGCGCCACGACCGGUUUUCGGGCAGUCAGAAGGCGGCUGGGGAAGGUAGGCAGGCGCUUCGGCGUCUGCUGUUAUAGACCCGCCUGUCCUGACCUGCUCGGGGACCGAGGAGCCGCCGCUCGGCUGAGGCUGCCCUGCUCUCCUGGAGGGUUCGACUGGCAGAGACUGGGCAACCGUGUCUGCUGACCGCCUUUCAGGAUGGACGGGGAUGAGCCUGCCGGGCACAGGGUCGGUGGCGAAUCGGUCGGCACUCCACCCGACCCGUCUUGAAACACGGACCAAGGAGUCUAACAUGCGCGCGAGUCGUUGGGUAGUACGAAACCCGAAGGCGAAGUGAAAGCGAGGGCCGUCCUCGCGACGUGCUCAGGUGGGAUCCCGUGCCAUCCCGGCGCGGGCGCACCACUGGCCCGUCUCGUUCGCGUCGUCGAUGAGGCGGAGCAAGAGCGUGCACGUUGGGACCCGAAAGAUGGUGAACUAUGCCUGAGUAGGAUGAAGCCAGAGGAAACUCUGGUGGAGGU